rnacentral:lncRNA from 13 species
CCCAAAUCUCAACUUGAAUUGUAUCUCCCAGAAUUCCCACAUAUUGUGGAAGGGACCCAGGUGGUGGGAAUUGAAUCAUGGGGUCUUGUCUUUCAAGCGCUGUUGUCAUGAUAGUGAAUAAAUAUCACGAGAUCUGAUGAGUUUAUCAGGGGUUUCCACUUUUGCUUCUUUCUGACUUUUCUCUUGCCACUGCCAUGAAAGAAGUGUCUUUCACUUCCCACCAUGAUUCUGAGGCCUCCCUAGCCAUGUGGAACUCAGGUGGGCAGCAUCCAUUCUGCUGAAGACCAGAAUACAGCAAAAAGGUGAAGGAAGAGCAAAUUUCCUCUCUCUUCCAGAACUGGAACAUCCGUCUUCUCCUGGACCCUCAGAUACUGACAGACCUGGUUCUCAAGCCUUCAGACUUACGUUCAGGACUUACACCACUGACUCCUCUGGUUCUCAGAUCUUUAGGCUUGGACUAGAACUAAACCACCAGUCUUCCUGGGCCUGCAGCUUGCAGACAGUAGAUCAUGGGACUUCUCAGCCUUCAUAAUUGCAUAAGUUAAUUUCUAUAAUUAAUUAACUAGUUAAUUUGUGCAUAUAUGUGUAUCCUAUUGGUUGUUUUUUAGAGAACUCUGACUAAUACAAGUAUUAUGAAGGAAGAAUUCUGAAUCUGAAAAUUGUAAAACACAAACACAUAUAAAGAAAAAAGGCUUGGCAUAGUGGCUCACACCUGUAAUCCCAGCACUUUGGGAAGCCAAGUCAGGUGAAUCACUUGAGCCCAGGAGUUCAAGACCAACCUGGGUAACAUGACAAAACAUCAUCUCUACAAAAAAUACAACAACAACAAAAAUUAGCUGGGCAUGAUGCCAUGCACUUGUAUUCCCAGCUACUUGGGAAGCUGGUAGGAAGAGGUAGGAGGAUUGAUUGAGCCUGGAAAGUUGAGGCUGCAGUGAGCUUCAACCACUGCACCACUGCAUGCCAACCUGGACAACAGAGCAAGACCUUGUUUAAAAAAGAAAAUAAAAGUAAAUAAAAAAGAAAACA